UUGACGCAUCAACAAGAUGGUCACAGUUUCUUUGUUAUCAACUCGCAACCUGGCGUUUGCGAGACUGCUUGCUCAAUUGAUCAAAUUACGAGCACGUUUUCCAGAUUUUCCCCUUAAGGCAAUUCACCUAGACAAUGCUGGUGAAUUCAUGUCCCAAGCUUUUAAUGAUCAUUGCAUGUCUAUUGGGAUAAGUGUUGAACAUCCUGUAGCACAUGUUCACACACAAAAUGGUUUAGUUGAAUCGUUAAUUAAACGUCUUCAGUUGAUUGCUAGACUAUUGCUUAUGAAAUCAAAACUUCCAGUCUCUGCAUGGGGGCAUUCUAUAUUACAUGCAGCAGCGUUGAUUCACAUAAGGCCAACGAGUAAUCAUCAAUUCUCCCCAUCACAAUUAAUUAUGGGUCAGGAGCCAAAUAUUUCCCAUCUUAAGAUAUUUGGAUGUGUUGUAUAUGUUCCGAUUGCUCCACCACAGCGAUCUAAAAUGGGACCUCAAAGAAGGUUAGGAAUAUAUGUUGGAUAUGAUUCUCCAUCAAUAAUUUAAUACUUAGAGCCAUCCACAGGGGAUUUAUUUAAGGCCCGAUUUGCAGACUGUCAUUUUAAUGAAUCUGUUUUUCCAACAUUAGGGGAAGAAAAGAAACAGUUGGGAAAAGAUAUCAACUGGAAUGAAUUAUCAUUAUCUUAUUUUGAUCCUCGAACUAAAGAAUGUGAUUUAGAAGUCCAAAAGAUAAUUCAUUUACAAAGCUUAGCAAACCAGUUGCCAGAUGCAUUUACUGACCCAAAAAGAGUGACCAUGUCACAUAUCCCAGCUGUAAAUGCUCUCGUUAGAAUGAAUGUCCAAGAAGGACAAAAUCAACCUGCUAAUGAGUCUAAGGCACGCCUGAAGCGUUGUAGACCUAUCGGUUCUAAAGAUAAAAAUCCUCAAAAAAGAAAAGGAGCAGAAAUUGGUAAUAAUGAAAUCGAGGUAAUAACAACAAAUGAAAAAUCUCCAGAAGAGAACAUGACACAAGAAAAAAUUCAGGUACCUGAUAAUGAAAAGAUCUCAACUAACUAUGUCAUGUCUGGAAUGAAAUGAAACCGAAAGCAAAUCGACGUCGAUGAUAUUUUUGUAUACAAUGUAGCAGUUGAUCUUAUGGAUGAGGAUCAUGAACCAAAAUCUAUUAUAGAGUGUACACGAAGAAGUGAUUGGUCAAAAUGGAAAGAAGCAAUAGAUGUUGAAUUAAAAUCUCUUGCAAAAAGAGCAGUGUUUGGACCUGUAGUCCGUACACCUAAAGGUGUAAAACCAGUGGGAUAUAAAUGAGUUUUUGUGCGGAAGAGGAAUGAAAAUGGUGAGAUUGUGAGAUACAAAGCACGUUUAGUUGCUCAAGGAUUUUCACAAAUACCAGGAAUUGAUUAUGAAGAGACAUACUCUCCUGUGGUGGAUGGUACUACAUUCAGGUUCCUUAUCAGUCUGGCGAUAAAGGAAGGACUUGAUUUACGCUUAAUGGACGUAGUCACAGCUUACUUAUAUGGCCCACUAGAUACUGACAUUUACAUGAAAGUCCCAGAAGGAUUUAAACUACCAGAAGCAGCAAAUUCUAAUUCUCGAGAAAGUUAUAGCAUAAAGUUAAAUCGAUCUCUUUAUGGACCGAAACAAUCAGAACGUAUGUGGUAUACUCGCCUAAGUGAGUACUUGUUUAAAGAAGGCUAUAAAAACGAUCAUAUCAGUCCAUGUAUCUUUAUAAAAAGAUUUGAGAAAGGAUAUGUUAUAAUUGCAGUGUAUGUUGAUGAUUUAAACAUUAUUGGAACUCCUGAAGAGAUUUCAAUUACAAUGGAUUACUUGAAGAAAGAAUUUGAGAUGAAAGAUCUUGGAAAAACAAGGUUUUGUUUGGGACUACAAAUUGAGCACCUUAAGAAUGGAAUCUUAGUGCAUCAAGAAACCUACACAGAAAAUGUUGCUAAACGAUUUUCUAUGGAUCAAGCACAUCCUUUGAGUUGUCCAAUGGUGGUAAGAUCACUCAAUGUGAAUAAAGAUCCCUUCCGCCCUAGAGAGAAGAAUGAAGAAGUUCUUGGUCCUGAAGUACCAUACUUAAGUGCUAUAGGGGCAUUAAUGUACCUUGCCAGUCAUACAAGACCUGAUAUAUCAUUUGCAGUGAAUCUACUGGCAAGGUUUAGUUCAUGCCCAACUCGUAGGCAUUAGAAUGGGAUAAAACAUAUACUCUGAUACCUCCAAGGUACAAAAGACAUGGGAAUAUUCUUUCCUAACCCAUCCACAGAAGAUUUGAUUGGUUUUGCAGAUGCUGGAUACAUGUCUGAUCCCCACAAUGCUAGAUCACAAACAGGAUAUAUGUUUACUUGUGGUGGAACUGCUAUCUCUUGGCGUUCGAUGAAGCAAACAAUUGCAGCUACUUCUUCCAACCACGCAGAGAUUUUAGCCAUUCAUGAAGCUAGUCGCGAGUGUGUAUGGUUAAGAUCUGUCAUUCAACAUAUACGAGCAGAUUGUGGUCUAUCUACAGGGAAAGAAUCCCCAACAGUCAUGUAUGAGGAUAAUGCUGCAUGUAUCGCUCAACUCAAAGUUGGAUACAUCAAAGGAGACAGGACAAAGCACAUUCUACCGAAAUUCUUUUUCACCCAUGAUCUACAGAAGAAUGGCGAUGUUCGUGUCGUUCAAAUUCGUUCAAGUGACAAUUUAGCUGACUUAUUCACCAAGGCGCUACCCACUUCUACUUUCAAGAAGUUGGUUCAUCUUAUCGGAUUACGUCGUCUCAAGGAUCUUGACGUUAGUAUACAUGAGGGGAAGUAAUUGCACGCUGCACUCUUUUUUCCUUAACCAUGAUUUUUUCCACUUGGUUUUUCUGGUAAGGUUUUUAACGAGGCAGUAUCAUACGCGUAUAAUAGACAUCAAGGAGAAGUGUUAUAUUUAUUGUGAUGUCAAUUAUAGAAAGUCUUGUUCACCAAAAUUUACUUGUACUUGGUCUCCAAGUUAAACCCUUAUAUUAUAUCCCUAUAUAAGGAGUUUAUUAUUCGUGGAAUAAGACACACCAAUUUCUCUUCCCCUCUUCUCUUCUUUAUUUAUAACAAUAACUCAAUAAUUAAAAAUAUUUAAACUUUCUUUUCAGAAAUUCAUCAUGGUUUCUCACCGCUUCAAGUGCCUUUAAUGCUUAAUGAAAGUUAAUAAAUGUGCAAAUAAAGGAACAAAUGUGGGGACCUUAGUUGCAUGCACAAGUAUUCGGUUAAUGAUAUAACUUUUUUUUGCGCAUUCGUCAUAUGAAUAAUAUUCCUUGUAAAAGAAAAGUCCAAAAGACUAUUCUUUUCAAGUCACAACCAGGAGUGACUAGAUUCUCCAUUAAAUUUAAUUUGAUCCAUUAUUUGUGUCCAUUGGAUCCAUAAAAUUUAGAUAUCCGUAAAAAUUCAAAUCAAAGAAAAUAACAAAAUAUGUUAUCCAUAAAAAAUGAAGCAAAUCACAAAUAUUAUUUUAAAAAAGCUCGAUAUUAGAGCCGAUCCAUAUACUUAUAGAUAGGUAAUGUAUAUAAAAACCAUCACAUCUAUACAUAUUUAUGAUAUAAUUUGGUUAAUUUUUUUUUAUUAUAAGUUGCUUUCUUCAAAUUUUUAUUUCGGGUUAUUGCAUAUCCAAUUUAGUUUUUAUGUUGAGUCAAAUAUUAACAUAUGAAUUUUCUAAUUAGACUUGUUAUAUUGAUUUUUGUUUUGUUUUUGUUAUACAAUUUCUGUUAAAGACGUUAGUUUGUUAGUAUUAUUCCAUUAUACAAAAAAAUAGAGCCAACCAUUGCAUAUGGUCUAAACAGUUCUCUUCUCAGUUUUUGCUCAGUUUUUUUUUUUUUUUUUUUAGUUUUGAUCUCCUUUAGAAUGCCAUAAGGAUUCAUACACUUGUAGACUGCCUAUUCAUGUAGUACAAGUUAGACGAAUAUUAAGGUCAAUAGAUAGGUUUCAAUUCAGUGGAGGUCGGGGUGUUAUACCUGCUUACGAGAAUUUCAUGCAUUAUUUCCAAGCAAUUGAUUGGAAGGUGAUGAGUCUCUUUUCCUAUUGUGAUCCAUUUAGAAUCAGCAGAAUUGCAUUGUCGGUAUUGUAGGGUUGCGUUUCAUUCUGUGAUUUGGAUUCAUUACCUCAUCAGGGUUUUUGGUUAACAUUGUAGUAUAUUAAUGUUUUUGUCAGGAACCUUGGAUUAUGGGAUUAAUUGCGUUUCAUGCUCUGGUGCUAAUUGUGAAGGUCUCAACUUCCAUAUGUUCUUGUUCUUAUUGGUUUAAGCUCCCUUUCGUUCUGAUCUACACAUCUUUUCCUUGUAGACUAGCAUGGUAGACUACAAACAAUUAUUUGGACGUCUCAGGGUCCAUGGUUAGAGAGUACACCAUCCAUAGGGAGUAAGGGUUUACAAGGGUCAUUGAGUUCGUAUACUAGAUAAAAGGUCUCGGAUUAUGAUAUGAUCAUAUGACCAGACCACAAUAUAUAGUCUUUAAGCAUGGUGUUAACGAUUAGCAUCUCCCACGUGUGUUGUCAUUGCAUAUGUAAAGGAUAAUGAUCAUGUGACCUAUAUUAUUAUUUGAGAAUUAAAUUUACUUA